rnacentral:rRNA from 1 species
AUGACGGAGCUAAACCCUAAGCCCAAGUCCGCAAAGAAAGCGAGGAAGGCCGCCGCCGGUGGGGAGGAGAAGGGCAUGGAUGCGCUCAAGUCCGAUGUAAUCCCCAAGCUGAAGUCCAGCAAGAAAUCAAAGAAGCCCGCCGCCGAGGAGGGUGAAGAUAAGGGUGCGGACGUGCUCAAGUCCGACGUAAGUCCGGAACCGAAGUCCACCAAGAAGAAGAAGAAGAAGAAGAAGAAGUCCGCCGCCGGUGGGGAGGAGGAUGACAUUGACGCGAUCAAGUCCGACGUCGCCUCGUUCGCCUCGUCGCUGGGACUUGUCCCCGGCGCCGGCAACUCCUCCGGGUUCGACGACUCCGACUUCCGCAAGUCCGGCCCCAUGAGCGCCCCCAAACCGCCCAAGCACCCCCAAACCCCAGAAGCGCCCGCAAACACCGAACCCCCCCAAAACCCUAAACCUACCAAGAAACCGCAUCCUCUCGAGCUCCAUGGCCCUCGUACCGCCGCCACCACCAGUGCCACCACCAAUUACCCGCUGGUAAAGGCGGGUGCUCUCUCCGGGCAGUGGUACGCUGAUGCUGCUGAGCUGGAGGCCAGGGUCCUAGGCGACCGUAAGCAUGCCGCACCAGCAGUGGGGCUUCAGGAGAUGCAGCGGAUGGUGGAGCGGAAGCGGGAGCUGGCAGAGAAGCUCAUGGCGCAGUACUCGAGGGAGUAUGACUCGGUGCGGCGGGGAACUGGUGAUCUGAAGCUCCUGGAAAUGUCGGCCAAGUCUGGUACAUCAGCCGAUAAGGUGUCGGCGUUCACAUGUCUAGUCGAGGACAAUCCAAUAGCAAACAUGAGGGCGCUUGACUCUCUCCUCGGUAUGGUUGCAUCAAAGGUUGGUAAAAGGUAUGCAUUCACAGGCUUUGAUGCAUUGAGGGAGUUGUUCGAAAUGAGGUUAUUGCCUGAUCGUAAGUUGAAAAGUCUUAUUCAGCGCCCAUUAGACAUUUUACCUGAAACAAAAGAUGGCUACUCGCUUCUCCUAUUCUGGCAUUGGGAAGACUGCUUGAAACAGAGGUAUGAGAAGUUUGUUAUUGCACUGGAGGUUGCGUUAAAAGAUAUGCUGCCAAGCCUUAAGGACAAAGCAAUGAAGACAGUUUCUGCCCUUCUAAAGAGUAAAUCUGAACAGGAACGCCGGUUACUUACAGCUCUUGUUAACAAACUUGGAGAUCCUGAAAGGAGGGCAGCAUCAAGUGCCGCGUAUCUGUUAACAGGUCUUCUGUCCACUCAUCCAAAUAUGAAGAUGGUUGUGAUAGAUGAGGUGGACUCAUUUCUGUUCAGACCACAUGUUGGGCUUCGGGCCAAAUACCAAGCCGUCAACUUUUUGAGCCAUAUUUUUCUUACCAGUAAAGGAGAUGGACCUAAAAUUGCAAAACGGUUGGUGGAUGUCUACAUUGCGGUUUUCAAGGUACUCAUGUCUUACCCUCGUGAUAGUAAAGGAGAAAAACAAAGUAAACAUGGCAAGAAAAAGGUUGAAAAUGGGAAAACAAAGGGGCGAGAGGACAAGGUCAACGACUCUAAUUCACAUGGAAACCAUGAAAUGGAUCCACCAGCAGGAACAGAUUUAGAGAUGGAUUCCCGCCUUCUCUCUGCACUUUUAUCUGGCGUAAAUAGAGCGCUACCAUAUGUUGCAAGCUCUGAAGUUGAUGAUAUUGUGGAAGUUCAGACACCAAUUCUUUUUAGACUGGUUCACUCUGAGAACUUCAAUGUUGGUGUUCAGGCGUUAAUGCUUUUAUAUCAGAUCUCCACAAAAAAUCAGAUAGCAAGUGACCGUUUUUACCGCGCGUUAUAUGCGAAACUUUUGAGUCCUUCAGCUGUUUCUUCAUCAAAGCCGGAAUUAUUUCUGGGUCUGUUGGUGAAAGCAAUGAAGAACGAUGUAAUGCUGAAGAGAGUAGCUGCAUUUUCGAAGCGUCUGCUUCAGGUUGCUCUUCAACGCCCUCCACAGUAUGCUUGUGGAUGCCUUUUCAUACUGUCUGAGGUCCUUAAAACAAAGCCACCAUUAUGGACGAUUGUGCUCCAGAAUGAAUCUGUCGAUGAUGGUAUCGAACACUUCGAAGACAUUGUAGAGAAUCCUGAGGACCCUGCUAUUGCUUCAACAAGUCCAAUCAAACAGGAUAGUAUGUUGGCUUCACUUGAGAAAUACAAUUCUGACGGCGAGGAUGAUUCUGAUGCUACGAAACAAGUAAAAGUGUCCGCUAGUGAUGAGAACGGUCAAACCAAUGCAUCAGCUGAGGGGUCGACAUCACAUGUAUUAUAUAAUCCACGACACAGAGAGCCUUCUUACUGCAACGCAGAUCGUGCUAGUUGGUGGGAGCUAACGUUAUUGGCCUCACAUGUGCACCCGUCAGUAUUUACAAUGGCUAGGACAUUGCUAUCUGGAAACAAUAUUGUUUAUAAUGGUGAUCCAUUGACAGACCUGUCGCUUCCUGCCUUCCUUGACAAAUUCAUGGAGAAGAAACCAAAAGGAAACCGCAUCGCUGAAGGGAAAUGGCAUGGUGGAUCACAAAUUGCACCAGCUAAAAAGCUUGACCUGAAUCAUCAUCUCAUUGGACAAGAUCUGCUAGAAUUGGCAGAAAAUGAAGUUCCUCCAGAAGAUGUUGUUUUCCAUCGCUUCUACAUGAACAAGACAGGCCCUAUUAAGCCCAAGGCAAAGAAGAAAGCUUCAGUUCUGGAUGAAGAUACUGGAGAGCUCUUAGCUGAUGACGUUGAUGAUGGCAGUGAUGAAAGUGAUGACGAGAUGCAGGAGCUGGAUGAAAGUGAUGACGAGAUGCAGGAGCUGGAAGAUGAGUCCGCGGAGGAUGGAGAAUAUGACUACGACAAUCUGGACGCCAAGGCAUUUGAGGAGGAAGGGGAUUUGCUUAGAGAUGACAGUGAUGCUGAUGUGUUGGAUGACAUUUCAGAUGACGACGAGGAUGAUGAUGAAGAUGAUGGUCUUAACUUGUCGUAUGUGGACGAGAGUGCUGACGAUUCAGAUGAUGAUGUUACCGAUGUAAAGGCUGCAGCUGCAGCCCGUGGGCAAAAGCGAAAGAGCCGCUCAACUCCAUUUGCAAGUCUAGAAGAGUACGAACAUCUCAUGGAGGGGGAGGCCGAGAAGUCUACUUUGAAGAAGCAGCAGCGGAAGCACAAGGAAGCUGGGGACAGUAUGGGCCGUAAGGAGAGAGGACAGAAACAGUCGGGAUCACGAAAGAGAAAGUCCCAAGAGAUCUGA